UUGCGUCCACUGAUAGCCCUUAAGCAACUUCCAUUGGCUUAAGGGUUUGCAAAGUGAUGCUAAACUAAAUCUUCUUCGUACUUCCUGACUGCUCCAUUACAUAGCAGCACAGAUUGAAUUGAGGAAUACAUUC